GAUUCAGAACUAGAGUAAUGGCGCUGUUGGGGGCUACUGGAAUGGCGCGAUUUGAAAAGGCGCGUCGUUUGGGAUGGUUGCUGUGCAAAUUCUAGAACCUUCCUUUUGUGGCGCUGAAAGGUGCAUAAAUCCCUAGGGUUCCCAAAUUUGAAAGUAGAUUUGGACCAUCGGGCCACAUAGUUUAUUGGGUCUGAUUUGUUUGGGCCGACUUAAUUUAUGUAUUGGGUUUUGUGUGCUUCUGGGUCGAGGGUGUAAAUGGGUCUAUUGGGUAGGUUUAGGUAUUUGGGUUGUUUAUUGUAACUGGACUUUAAAUUCUCACGGGCCCGGGCAGAUUUAGGCUACUACAGCUGCCCCUCUUUGCUUAUUGCUGUGUAACAAGAAUCGAGCAAAGACUCAUAAAAAGACUAAAUUUGCCCAGCCUUAUCGGGUUAUGGUCCUCAGUCUUCUCAUUACAAACACAAGACUGUCAUGUCGAUAUCUUCGAUCGGCUCUCAGUCGAACAUAGAGAUACCAAAUCAUCUUAGAUUUGCUUCAACGUAAACACGUGAAUGCCAAAUCAGCUAUGUCUUCGAUCUGCUCUCCGUCGAAUACAGAGAUGCCAAAUCAUCUUAGAUUUGCUUCAACGUAAACACGUGAAAGUCAAAUCUGCUACAUCUUCGAUCUGCUCCCCGUCGAAUACAGAAAGAUAAGAUCUGUCAUCUUGGAUCUACUCCCCGUCUAUUACGGAGAGAUAAGAUCUGUCAUCUUGGAUCUACUCCCCGUCCAUUACGGAGAGAUAAGAUCUGUCAUAUUUGAUCUGCUCCCCGCCUAUUACAGAGAGAUAAGAUCUGUCAUCUUGGAUCUGCUCCCCGCCUAUUACAGGGAGAUAAGAUCUGUCAUCUUGGAUCUGCCCUGAUGAAGGUCAGAUCUGCUAUGUCUUUGAUCUGCUCCCCGUCGAAUACAGAGAGAUAAGAUCUGUCAUCUUGAAUCUACUCCCCGCCUAUUACAGAGAGAUAAGAUCCACUAUCUUGGAUCUGCCCCGAUGAAGGUCAGAUCUACUAUGUCUUUGAUCUGCUCUCCGUCGAAUACAGAGAGAUAAGAUCCACUGUCUUGGAUCUGCCCCGAUGAAGGUCAGAUCUGCUACGUUUUUGAUCUGCUCCUCGUCGAAUAUAGAGAGAUAAGAUCUGUCAUCUUGGAUCUACUCCCCGUCUAUUACAGAGAGAUAAGAUCCACCAUCUUAGAUCUACCCUGAUGAAGGUCAGAUCUGCUACGUCUUUGAUCUCCUCCCCGUCGAAUAUAGAGAGAUAAGAUCUGUCAUCUUCAACUUGUUCCCUAUAAGCACAGGGAUGCCAUGUUGAAAUCUUUGAUCUUCAUUGUCCCCUAGAGGACAUAACCUGUAGAAUGUGUAUGUGCCUAUGCCUAAUUAUUAGGAUGCCAUGAUUGAAAUGAAUCUAAUGCUCCUAUGAUGCAAAAUGACUUUUAUUUUGGACAUCUUGAUUCAUUCAAGUUUCGUUUUGUUUCACUCAAAGUACCAACCCUAUUUUGCUCGUAUGCUUAGAACCUUCUCCAUCGAUUUGGUCCACUGUAGCAUUCCCACAUGUUACGACCCACUGGAGAUGUUUAUGAAAUGAUCCUUUCCUAAGAUCAACAUCGUCUAAUCACCAUUUGGACCGAAGAAGAAAAUUUCUUGAGUACCUCCAAUCCUCACUCAAUGGGAAUUCCUUAAACAAUUGUUAUGUUUCAUUUUCUUUGUAUUAUCUAGAAAUCUCCAGAGUAAUAUGCAAAACUUUAUUUGUGAAGCUAUUUUAGUUUAUCCAUCAUUAUUUCAAUGUAACAUACUUUAUGAAUAAUGGAUAAUAAAUUGAUCUUGAGGAAAAUUAGAGUUUAAAUGAUUUAUCAAAAGAAGAACAAAGGAGAUUAAUCUAGGAAUCUAUCUUUGAGAAGAAAGAGAAUCCAAAGAUAGUAAACAAGACAAAAAUCAAAUGCCUUAGAUAUCGCAGCCUGGGUUUCUAUAUACAAAUUCCAUGAAGACUGUUUUGAGUUUAACAUGUGUUUAGAAGACCCAAAGUACUUUGUUGAUGCCCCGAUAUGUAACAUACUUCACUACUUGUUGACUCCGGUAUAGCAAGGUCAUUGCUGCUCACCAAAAUUUGAGCCGCCCUUUCGGGUUUUCAGCUCAAAACCCCUUUGGUCUUAAGGCGCCCUUUGCGGGUUUUCACAUUGGCCUCUCCAUUUUUCUUUUUUUCCAUUUUUCUUUUCUUUUCUCUUUUUUUUUUGAAAUAGAAGUCUCAAAGCGCCCUUUGCGGGUUUUCACUUUGGCUUCCCUUCAUUUUCAACCAAAAUACUCCUUAAUUGAGUCUGAAUUCACUGUAUUGGGUAAAUCUUUCGCACCACUAGAGGAGGCUUUUUCAGAAUCUAUGGUCUUUCCCAUUUGGUAUCCAUUUUCCUUUGAAAUCUUUUGCAUGGGAAGAAUCUCUUGUAACACAAGUUUCCCUUAAGAAAUUCUUUUGCCCCAGCAAAAAUCCGGGCUGACGUUUGUCAAACAAAGAAAGCGAAUAGUAGCUAGAAUCCAGAAGCUCUAUAUAAAAAUAGUUCAAUGGAGCUGCUGACAUUAUCUUUCAUUCUGGGAAGCUGAAGUACAGAAAUCGCUCCCGGAGUUGUCAUUCCACCAUGGCUUGAUGAUGUUUCUCAAGUAUCUUUAAACUCUAUAAAUUGCUCUAACUAUGAAGUUACCAAAUGAGCUCAGCGAGUAGGGGCCACAACAGAUAUGUCUAUGGCGUUUCUUUGAUAUAGCAUGGACUAGCUCCUACAGAUCAUCAGCCGAAAACCCAAUCUGACCUAAGAGAACAUGAUAAUGAGUAGGUCUCGUGGUUCCAAUCAUUCCAGUAUGGGCAUAAAGAUAGAAGCCAUUGUUCCUAGGAUGAUAGACUUUGUUGUCUAUAACGGUUCCAGGCGAGACAUUGUCAGGAGAUCCCUGCUGAAAAAAAAACUUAGGAUGAUAGAUUUUCUGUGCCACCAUGACCACAAACUUGAGGUUUCAACUCUUAUCAAGAAAUUUGCAAGCCUCAAUUACUUGAUCCAGCUCAAUGUUUAAUUACUUGAUUGAACUGUGACUUGCUAACUCCAUCCCUGAAUAUGAUAAUUUGAUCCGGCUUCCUUUUCCCUAAACUUGUAUAGAAGUCUAAGAAAGCUUUCCUUACGAUACCCUUAUCCACUUUGUCAGAAACUGGUUUGAAGAGAGAAUCUAUCAUUUCAAGCUUCAGAGACUGUGUACGACCUGAUGCCUUAUAACUGGAAAUCAAUGGCCAUUUCAUGAAACUAACCACCAUAGCUAUUGACGGUAUAUCAGACUGCUCAGGAGAGCCAAAUAAUGCAUCCAUUCCAAGGAUGCUAGUUGGAACCUUUGAAACAACUGGAAUUGAAGGUGUUUGCUCAAUUACUAGCAUGGAAUUCAGUUCUCCAAGCUUUGCAUUGAUUUUUAAAAGCAGGUUUGUAAAGCACUGAUCCUUCACCCUAACUAGCACCAUACACUGAGUCAUGAUGCCAUACUUAGACAGAUUGUUCUGCUUCCACAGCCCAUAAAAAAUCAGAGUUUUUCUUAUCGAGAAGCAAACAAAGAAGGAACUGCGGAGCUCCGAGUAUCCAGCACUAUUAUCUACCAAGGCAUCAAUGUGAGGUACAGGAAAACUAGCUUUGUUCCAACUUACAGCCUUUCCUUUCUUUUGAGGCUAUAUCUUUUACCCCCACUUCAUGAGGUAGAAUUUAUUUCUCUUCUUGCUUUACCAUUUUUAACAAAUUUAGAAACAAAUCGCAAUCUCUGUCAUCUUCAGAGUACUGAGAUUCCUCUAAACACAUGUAGCGCUCAAAAGGAACUCUGAAUCUGUAGUAUCGUUGCCCCUGUCAUUGAUAUCUAGGGAUCUUCGAAAGGCACAAAAGAAUAUACAAGGAAUAAAUGAAUCAAGAAUAACUAUUUACGUUAUGAAUGAAGAAAAAAUGAGGGAACAAUUGCUCAAAUUAAUCAUGAAAGAUAUGUUUUAUUGAAACAACAAUGUCUAAACAUGAGCCUAUUUCACAAAUGAAAUCUUAUUGUUUCUAGGCUUUAAAACAACAAGUGUGUUCUGAACAUUACUCUAAAUUAACUUUAAAAUACAAGGAUCAUUUCCACCAUUUCAUUGUCCAAAACAUUCCCAAAUGUGCAAGGGCUCACCAGUUUUAUUCUUUGGUUUCCUCUUCGGAUACAUUAUUCAGAUUCCCCAACAUCAAGUCCUGCUCAAAAGCCCUGAAACCUGGCGCAUUCUUGGAUCCCAUGGAAUUCACCUCUCCAUCUAAAUGGUUAGGUAAUAAAUUUUCUGCCCCAGAGGGAUGAUCAAAGCUUAUAACACCUAUUUUGAUGAGUUUUUCGAUCAUCUUUUUAAAGGCAAUGCAAUUCUCAAUUGAGUGUCCUGUACGUCCCGUAUGAUACUCACAUUGAGUGUUCAAAUCAUACCAUUUGGGAUAUGGGGGUUGCAACGGUUCUAUGUAAAACGGGGACACUACAUGUGCGUCAAAUAAUCUAUGAUAUAGCUCCUUAUACGACACUGGAAUUGACGUAAAGGGAAGCUUUUCAGGAUUUGAUCUCGGAUUGGAUUCUUGCUUUUGAGGAACCUGAUGGCUAGUAGUUGACAUUCUUGGUUGCAUUACAGUCAACAACUUCACCUCAUUUUCUUUUCUCGUCAUUGCCCUCGAGGUAUUGUAUCGGGAGCUCCACUCUUACUUUUUAAGAGCUUCGCACUGUUUCAGACACUCCACACUGGCUUUCCUUGCUUCCCUAAUGAUGACAAGACUGGCUGAAUUGCUCCCCGAGUUAGGACUUGAGCCUACUGAAUUAUUUACUAGUGCCAACAUACCGGCUUGAUGCUGUUGGGGUUUGAUAGUAACUGGUAUCUCUUGUGGAUAUGCGUCUAGUUGAGUCUGGACCCCUAUUGGAGUAAAAUUUGGAGAAUAAACGAUGACCUCAUUAUCAUCUUCAGUGUUGACCACUGGGCUUUUCCUCUUUUCAAGCCCUUCGAUUAGUAACUGUCCCAGCUGGCCAAUUAUAUUUCUUUGGAGCUCCAACAUUUGAUCACGUAUAUCUUGUUGAAUUUUGGUCAACUGCUCUUGCAUCUGUAUUUGCCUUUGCUCCAAUCUCUCCAACCUUUGUUCCAUAUCUCCGAUUAACUCUCUGAAAUAAUUUUUGCCUAAUUAGGGUCUUUUUAUGGACUUAAAUUCAUAUGAUGCGAUGUGAUGUAAUGCAAAUGCAUGAAUGCAAAAAGGUAUCGAUCUAGACUCAAUUUCAUUUAGAAAACUUUAUUUAGAAAAAGAAUAUCUUUACAUAUGAAUGGAUUACAAAUACGCCUUCAUCCUAUGGCCCAAAGUUUUAACUCAACAAAGCUAACUCCUGACCAUGAUCUGACUGUAGCUUGUAUUUCGUGCUCAAUGUAUCAGCUUGUACUUUCAUGGUCCGUAAAUGAUCUAUUACCAUCCCAAAUUUGAGGUAUGGCUUCACCCAUAAAAUAAUCCCUAUAUCUAUGGACACCUCUUCCAACAUCAGUGAAGUUGUUCUGAUUAUCUUGAAAGAAAGAUUGGCAAACAAGUAGGCACUCCUACUUAACAUGCUGCCUUUAAAUGAUAUCCGGCACCUUUAGUAUUUCUUGAGAGCUUUCAGAUUCCUGUCCAUGCAAAGCAUUUUGAAAUGCUUACAUGGGUAUCUUCUCAGCAUAGUUAAUCUCCACUUUAAAGGUCUUUAAAUGUUAUGAUCUUCUUUAAUUUCAUUCUUUUGCGUCCAUUUUGACAUACCAUCAGGGCUUGCAUUUCCAUUGUCUAUGAUAAGUGCAACAUAGUAAACUCAUGCUUGUUGUUUGGUCCUAUAAUAAAUAAACCUUUUACCAUCAUAGGCACAAUUCUUUCCAUCCAACUCACCUUUGUAGGUCCAUGCAUUCUGUCAAUCACUUUCCUUCCAACACUUUUACCAUCAACCAUCUUCAUAUGAAAGAGAAAUGUUGUAAUAGUGGAAAGGUCCAUCAGUAUUCUUCUUGUUCACCUUGAAAUGAUUGGUAAGUACAUUACCUUCUGCGCUUUAGUUCCUGCAGCACGCCUUGCCAUAGGGUAUCGAACAAUCUUCCUCGUAUCCAAUUUUACUUUGAUUGGAAACAACAUUAAAACACACCAGUGGCGGAAGAGGUAGGAAAUCCAAGACUGCCCCUUUUCCUUCUUGCUCUUUCCAUUUAGCUCACUCCCUCUCCCCAUGACGUUCAUCAACUUCCUCAAAAAAGUUGGAAUACAGUCAGCCCUUGAGUAAACUUUAUCAACUUGAAUCAUAGGACAACGCUACAAAAUCGAAUAUUCCUCCACCACGGGUACCAUAUUGGCUUUUCCAAACGUAAAACAACUGUAUGCAAGAUUCCAAUACUAAGUGAUGGCCCGAAACAAAUUCUCGUCUAUCCCAAGUCAAGCAAGUACUGCAAGUCCCCAUGGUUGUUGUAGAACAACUGCUUGGCUUCGCUACCCCAUUGAUCCCAUAUUUCCUUUAACUCAUGCUGAUUAUCUUGUGUGACGCUAAUACGAACGUAGUCUGACAGCUCUGACACAUAUCCCAUGGCUAGACUAUUUUCCUUUCCUAACUGAGUUUACUCUGACCAUAUAUAGACGUUAGCGUUGCCUUCCACUCUAUCAAGAAGUUCAUUCUCCAUAAUAAAACUCUCUAACUUAGAAACUGACUAAAAAUCGAUACCUUUUAAAUGCGAAAUGAUAUGCAACAAAAGAAAGGAAAUAGUUAGUAUCACAUGAUAACAAUAAACUCAAAGAUAACCUACAAGGGUAAUAAUUACGGUAUACUUCUAUCUAGGUCGAGCUUUUACGAUCCUUCUAUAUGUGGUUUAGUUCUAAAGUUGAGGUACCCGAACUAGCAGAUUCCUCGAUCCUCACCCAUUAUAGGCUCAUUCAAAUCGAGUUUAGUUCAGGGGAAUACAUUUCCCUAUGGCUACACGGAGAUGAAAAUCUCACAAAACUAUAGGUACGGAUGUAUCCCGAAAGUAAUCCACUAUCUUGCACGGAGGCGAAAACCUCACGAAGGCGUAGCUUAUCACUCCCACUUAAGGGUGUGACCACAACAGUCAUGCAAAUGCAAUGCAUAUCAGAAUAUAGCAACACAUGCAAUAAUACAAACGCAUGUAAUGCAAAGAGAAUUAAAUUUAAAAUAUUUAAUUUCUAACAUUAAGACAAGAGAUAAUCAAUUACACGGCUUGACUCUCUUAUUAGUCCCCAGUGGAGUCGCCAAGCUGUCGAAACCAUUUUUAAAUCGAGUUUUGGAAAAUAGGAAUCGACUUUUAAAAAACGAAAACGGGAGUCGCCGUCAAUCUUUUUAGGUGUGAUUGGAUCACCUUUAAAACAUUUUAUUUUAAAAUCAUUAGUUUUGGUCUACGAAAUUAGAAAACGAGUUCGGGAGCCGGUUAUGUACGAGGAAGGGUUAGCACCCUCGUAACGCCCAAAAAUUGGUACCUAAUUGAUUAUCAAAAUAUCCUUAAUGUCGGAAAUUUAACAAAAAUUUAAAAUGUAAUCCUCUUUACAAUAUUUUAAUUUUAAAAAUUAGGGUUCACUUGUAUCAAAUGAAUCAAAAUAUUACAUCCAAUAAGUUAGGACGCACUAUUUUAAGACAUUUGAGACUAAGUUAACCAUUUUUGAAAAUCCCUAUCUUGAGACGUCAAAACGUCAUAACCAGUAAGUUUGGACACAACGCUUUGAAAUUUCAAGACUGCUGCUCAUAUUUUGAAAUCCUUUUUUUAAAAAAUUUAGAAAGGUGCUUAACUAUUUGAACUCAAUGAGAAAAGUGGCAACCCAGUAAGUUAGGGCACUACCUUUCUCAAAGUUUCCAAACAUCAAGCAUUGCUUUUAUUUUUAUGAAACUUUUAAAUAUUGUUUUAAAUGACCUUUUAGAGUGACAAUUCUGUAUUACAAAACAUAGAUAUUCAAAUAACGUAUACUACAAAAUAUUAUAACACUUUAUACAAAUGCAAUCACUAUAUAUAAAGGGCAAAAUAGAAUAAUAAAAAUAAUCAUGCUAAGCAAAUAGGAAUAUACCCAAAAAGAAAACAUAAUAAAUGCACUAAUUAUACAAUAUAUCAUAAAUAAAACAUUAGAUAAUAAAUAUAAAAAACAUGGUAAAUAUUAAUGUGUAAAAUAUGUAUGAGUAAAAAUAGAUGACAUGCAAAAAAAAUGGAUAAAUAGAAUCUACGUAUAAAAUAUACAAUCCAAUAAUUUAAUGUACACAUGAAUGGAUUAAUAAAUGAAAUAAUGCAUAUAAUACAAUAUAUCAAUGUACAUAUUCAUAAAAUAUAACAUCAAAUUAAAAAAAAAUAACAUUCAAUACAUAAAUGAUAUAUACAAUAUAAAAAAUAUAUAAAAGAAUUAGUAUAAAUAAUAAAAUGAAUAAUAUAAAACAUAAAUAAUAUAAUAGAUAAUAUACUAUAUACAUAAUAUAUAAUAUAUAAUAAAAAAUAAUAUAAUAAGUAAUAUAUAUAAUAAAUAUAAUAAAUAAAAUAAAAUAUAAAUAUAUAUAGGAAAAUAAUAUAUGAUAAAUAAACAUUUUAUAUAAACAUAUCAAUAGUAUUUUUUAAUAAUAAUAUAUACAUAGAUUUUAAAAUGAAUAAAUUAUAUGUAAAAAAUAACAAAAUUUAAAAUAAUAAAGAAAAGGAGUAAAAUUAAAUUUAAAUGAAACUAUAAGGCUAAUUUAAAAAAUGAAAUAAAUUUAAUUUAAAAAAAGAAAAAAACUGGAAACGGAAAAGGACUAAAAGGAUAAAUAUCCCUUUAGCCGAAGAAAACACGCGGAUCUCUAAAUGGACCGGGUCGGGUAAUCGGGUUGGCCCCAAAACGACGUCGUUUUGAUGCCCUUCUGCACACUACGAAACGGCAUCGUAUAGGGGUGCUUUAAAAACCAAUUUUCUUUCAAAAACUUUCAUUUUCACCUCCUCCUAAAAAAAAAUCAAGAAAAAUGCUCUCGAAAGCCUGCCUGCCCUCUGAGCUCCGAUCGAACUCUGAUCAUCGGGCUUCGCCGUCCUCUGUCGUCUCCGCCACCGUUCACGAUGUUCAGAGUUCCCAAAAGCGAGUUUUACGCUCCUUAAAGCUUCCCAAAGCCUAAUCCGACGGUGAUAUUCCCUUUCCUUUCUAUUUUAAAAGCGCCUUUUGCCUCAAAAACGAUUCAAAUCUUCGAAAUAAAAAAAAUAGAAAAGAGAACGAAAAGUAAUCUCUGAAAAUCACCUUAGAUCUAAUUUUAUUCCUUGUAUAUGUGUAAUACCCGUGUCUGUUUUACACUGUUUUUUGGGUCAAAAAAAAAACCCCCCUUUACAAUGCUUUCCUUCGGCUUUUAUAGCCUUAUACAGUAUUUUUUACAGAUUUCUAUUUCAUUUCUUGCUAUGUUUGUUUCUUUUCUGCUGCUUUUCUUUCUCCUUUUGCAGGUGUUCGUGAGAAUGAUGGCGAGUACUCUGGCUUUGAUACGUGCGCCAAUCUCGGCGCGAUUCAGAACUAGAGUCAUGGCGCUGAUGGGGGCUACUGAAAUGGCGCGAUUUGAAAAGGCGCGUCGUUUGGGAUGGUUGCUGUGUGAAUUCUGGAACCUUUCUUUUGCGGCGCUAAAAGGUGCAGAAAACCCUAGGGUUCCCAAAUUUGAAAGCAGAUUUGGACCAUCGGGCCACAUAGUUUAUUGGGUCUGAUUUGUUUGGGUCGACUUAAUUUAUAUAUUGGGUUUUGUGUGCUUCUGGGUCGAGGGUGUAAAUGGGUCUAUUGGGUAGGUUUAGGCAUUUGGGCUGUUUAUUGUAACUGGACUUUAAAUUCUCACGAGCCCGGGCAGAUUUGGGCUACUACAGUUAUAUCUAAAUAUGAGUUUUAAGUUAUGAUAUUUAAAAUAUUUAUUAAAUACAAUGAAAAUUUUAAGAAAAAAACAUUUCAACAUUUCCAUGGUAUAUUGAUAAGUUUGGAAUUUAAUUAUACCAAAAUCAAUG
rnacentral:lncRNA from 1 species